AACGUAGGACGCGAGCGUUAUCCGGAGUUACUGGGCGUAAAGCGUGCGCAGGCGGUUCGCUAAGACAGAUGUGAAAUCCCCGGGCUUAACCUGGGAACUGCAUUUGUGACUGGCGGGCUAGAGUAUGGCAGAGGGGGGUAGAAUUCCACGUGUAGCAGUGAAAUGCGUAGAGAUGUGGAGGAAUACCGAUGGCGAAGGCAGCCCCCUGGGCCAAUACUGACGCUCAUGCACGAAAGCGUGGGGAGCAAACAGG
rnacentral:rRNA from 1 species